GACGAACGCUGGCGGCAUGCCUAAUACAUGCAAGUCGAGCGGAGUUGACGAGAAGCUUGCUUCUCUGAUACUUAGCGGCGGACGGGUGAGUAACACGUAGGCAACCUGCCUUCCAGUUUGGGAUAACUUCCGGAAACGGAUGCUAAUACCGAAUACAUCAUCUUCUGGCAUCAGAGAAUGAGGAAAGACGGCGCAAGCUGUCACCUAGAGCUGGGCCUGCGGCGGAUUAGCUAGUUGGUGGGGUAAUGGGUCACCAAGGCGACGAUGCGUAGCCGACCUGAGAGGGUGAACGGCCACACUGGGACUGAGACACGGCCCAGACUCCUACGGGAGGCAGCAGUAGGGAAUCUUCCACAAUGGGCGAAAGCCUGAUGGAGCAAUGCCGCGUGAGUGAUGAAGGUUUUCGGAUCGUAAAGCUCUGUUGCCAGGGAAGAACGUCCGGGUGAGUAACUGCACCCGGAGUGACGGUACUUGAGAAGAAAGCCCCGGCUAACUACGUGCCAGCAGCCGCCGUAA
rnacentral:rRNA from 1 species